rnacentral:rRNA from 1 species
GACGAACGCUGGCGGCGUGCCUAAUACAUGCAAGUAGAACGCUGAAGAGAGGAGCUUACUCUUCUUGGAUGAGUUGCGAACGGGUGAGUAACGCGUAGGUAACCUGCCUUGUAGCGGGGGAUAACUAUUGGAAGCGAUAGCUAAUACCGCAUAACAAUGGAUGACACAUGUCAUUUAUUUGAAAGGGGCAAUUGCUCCACUACAAGAUGGACCUGCGUUGUAUUAGCUAGUAGGUGAGGUAAUGGCUCACCUAGGCGACGAUACAUAGCCGACCUGAGAGGGUGAUCGGCCACACUGGGACUGAGACACGGCCCAGACUCCUACGGGAGGCAGCAGUAGGGAAUCUUCGGCAAUGGGGGCAACCCUGACCGAGCAACGCCGCGUGAGUGAAGAAGGUUUUCGGAUCGUAAAGCUCUGUUGUAAGUCAAGAACGGGUGUGAGAGUGGAAAGUUCACACUGUGACGGUAGCCUACCAGAAAGGGACGGCUAACUACGUG